rnacentral:rRNA from 1 species
UACGGAGGAUCCGAGCGUUAUCCGGAUUUAUUGGGUUUAAAGGGUGCGCAGGCGGGAGAUUAAGUCGGCGGUGAAAUUUUGCAGCUCAACUGUAAAAGUGCCUUCGAAACUGGUUUCCUUGAGUGUAGAUGAAGUAGGCGGAAUUUGUGGUGUAGCGGUGAAAUGCUUAGAUAUGACGCAGAACUCCGAUUGCGCAGGCAGCUUACUAAACUACUACUGACGCUCAGGCACGAAGGCGUGGGGAUCAAACAGGAUUAGAUACCCUGGUA